rfam:Pseudomonas syringae pv. spinaceae strain ICMP16929 PspICMP16929_Contig_78, whole genome shotgun sequence.
UUUUAUGGUGGUCGUGCGCGGGGCAUCUUCGGAUGCACCGGGGUUCCUGGACCGGGCUACUACCUGCGCAUGACCACCACCCUC